CUCGCAGGUAGGAAGCAAAACAAUUAUGCUGCAAAUGCUACAGGAUCUCUGAAGAAAUAUGGCAAGCUUUCUUUGCUAAUCCACUAGAAUGGUGGCACAAUAGGAAAAACAAGGCAGUCUCUUUACUUCAUGCUUUAAAAGGAUAUAGACAUUUGUUGUUUAUUGCAACUCUUUAUGUCGGUAUUUCCUACUCAAAACCUUCCAUACAACUUGAAUAGCACUGUGCCUAUUCAGAUGAGCAUUAGCAUGAUGUAUCACACUUUUUCGAUUCUGUGUUUUGGAUUCUUACGCACAGGAAAGUCCAAUUACUGGAUGUAAAGGAUAAAUUAUGCAGUCAGCCCGGGUAGAAAUUGAUGUAGGACAAUCCGACAAUGCCACUUAUGAUAAAUGAACUUAAUUUUUCUAUGUUGCUAGUUUAUUAGGAGUCCCUUAUCUUUAGUUUUCUUACCUUUUUUUAUUACUAUUAUUAGGAUUGUAGUAGUAGUACCACUAUUUUGGUUAUUAUAAGUUUUUCCCAUUUUGGCAGUUAUCACGAUGUUAGUAAGAUAGGAUUCCUCUAUGGUUAAUGCCUAUAUUAGCAGUUUCACAAGAUUUCUCUAGCUAAAUGCAACAUCGAAAACAAUUAUGCAAGGUGAUCAUACACAAUGGGAGUAGUGAGAAUAAGGUAUCUAAGUCAUGAGUAAAAGCUUUAACUUGAAGAUGAAAAUACCCCUCAGUAAAUGAUCUCGUGGGCUAAAUAGGGAUUGCAUGUCCAGAUAAUGUAGGUAGGUUAAAUCUCACUUUCUAUUGGAAAGUACUAUAAAAAUAAGAUCGUGCGACAUCUGUAGAAAUGGAUGCUUGCCAUGUACUUUUGGGACAACUUUAGCACUAAGAUGUAUGCAUCACUUGCAAUAACGGACUCAACACUUAAAUAUUUUGGUGGUAUUACGAAGAAGAUUGUUCUGACACCUCUUAAAAAAUGAAUGGAGGUUAUCGAUGCUCAUCAAGUACAUCAAGAGGUGCUAAUCUGAAAUAUAAAGGUAAAGCUGACAAAUACCGUCUUAAAAAGGUCUUUAACAUGCGUGAUCUCGUGAUGAUUCAUUUGAGGAAAUGUCAUUUCGAAGCAUGCAAUUACAACAAAGACAAAAGAUAGGGAGAUUAGGUCCUCAUUUGAACUCCAUUAUAAUU
rnacentral:lncRNA from 1 species